rnacentral:rRNA from 1 species
AUUGAACGCUGGCGGCAGGCCUAACACAUGCAAGUCGAGCGAGCGGCGGACGGGUGAGUAAUGUCUGGGAAACUGCCUGACGGAGGGGGAUAACUACUGGAAACGGUAGCUAAUACCGCAUACCAUCAGAUGUGCCCAGCUGGGAUUAGCUAGUAGGUGGGGUAACGGCUCACCUAGGCGACGAUCCCUAGAUGGUCUGAGAGGAUUACCAGCCACACUGGAACGGGGACACUGUCCAUACUCCUACGGGUGGAAGCAGUGGGGAAUAUUGCAAAAUGGGCGCAAGCAGAAUGCAGCCAUGCCGCGGGUGUGAAGAAGGCCUUCGGGUUGUAAAGCACUUUCAGCGGGGAUGCGUUACCCGCAGAAGAAGCACCGGCUAACUCCGUGCCAGCAGCCGCGGUAAUUC